UACGUAGGGAGCAAGCGUUGUUCGGAUUUACUGGGCGUAAAGGGCGCGUAGGCGGCGCGGUAAGUCACUUGUGAAAUCUCUGAGCUUAACUCAGAACGGCCAAGUGAUACUGCAGUGCUAGAGUGCAGAAAGGGCAAUCGGAAUUCUUGGUGUAGCGGUGAAAUGCGUAGAUAUCAGGAGGAACACCGGUGGCGAAGGCGGGAUCCUGGGCCAGUACUGACGCUGAGGAGCGAAAGCGUGGGGAGCAAACAGG
rnacentral:rRNA from 1 species